AGUGAACGCUGGCGGUAGGCCUAACACAUGCAAGUCGAACGGCAGCACAGUAAGAGCUUGCUCUUACGGGUGGCGAGUGGCGGACGGGUGAGGAAUACAUCGGAAUCUACUUUUUCGUGGGGGAUAACGUAGGGAAACUUACGCUAAUACCGCAUACGACCUACGGGUGAAAGCAGGGGAUCUUCGGACCUUGCGCGAUUGAAUGAGCCGAUGUCGGAUUAGCUAGUUGGCGGGGUAAAGGCCCACCAAGGCGACGAUCCGUAGCUGGUCUGAGAGGAUGAUCAGCCACACUGGAACUGAGACACGGUCCAGACUCCUACGGGAGGCAGCAGUGGGGAAUAUUGGACAAUGGGCGCAAGCCUGAUCCAGCCAUACCGCGUGGGUGAAGAAGGCCUUCGGGUUGUAAAACCCUUUUGUUGGGAAAGAAAAGCAGCAGGUUAAUACCCCGCUGUUCCGACGGUACCCAAAGAAUAAGCACCGGCUAACUUCGUG
rnacentral:rRNA from 1 species